UGGGGAAUCUUCCGCAAUGGGCGAAAGCCUGACGGAGCAACGCCGCGUGAAUGAAGAAGGCCUUCGGGUCGUAAAGUUCUGUCAUUAGGGAAGAAGUCUCUUUAGGAUAAUACCCUAGAGAGGUGACGGUACCUGAGGAGGAAGCUCCGGCUAACUACGUGCCAGCAGCCGCGGUAAUACGUAGGGAGCAAGCGUUGUCCGGAAUUACUGGGCGUAAAGGGCGCGUAGGCGGGUUAUUAAGUCAGGUGUGAAAACUCCGAGCUCAACUUGGAGACUGCACUUGAAACUGGUGAUCUUGAGGUCAGGAGAGGAAAGUGGAAUUCCUAGUGUAGCGGUGAAAUGCGUAGAUAUUAGGAGGAACACCAGUGGCGAAGGCGACUUUCUGGACUGUACCUGACGCUGAGGCGCGAAAGCGUGGGGAGCGAACG
rnacentral:rRNA from 1 species